rnacentral:lncRNA from 1 species
AUGGAUUCGGAAACUACAGAAAAUCUACCCAAUCGAUGGGCACAGGAAUUUCGGGAACGUCUCGAAUAUCUCAGUCGUUCAAAACUGGAGGAAGCACGUGCGAAAAGCCCAGAAGAACAAUUUGUACAUCUUUUAUCCGUUUUAUCAGAGAUGCAGGCACUGUUUAUCCAAGUAGCAAUGCAAUUUCAAGAAUACACUUGGAGGAAAAUAAUGGAAAGUAGAAGAUUGACCAUGCUCAGAAUCCAAGAAAGGAGGAUUGCGGCUUUUCAUGCGUUUAAUCAGAUAAUGUUGAACCUCAGCUUGAAUUUUCCACCCCUGUACCACCUAGACACAGUUUUGUAGAAGCCUCUAGUCACAACAAACAAACAAAGACCAGGAGUGGAAGAAGAAGACCCCUAAAACGUCUUGUUGCCAGGCGGCGGAUUCUCUUCCCUGAUGAUGAUAAUGCGACUCAGGAAACUUCAUCCCACUCAUCCACCAAGACGUGAUGGUUAGACCUAUGCCCUUUCAACUCAGCAACUUCAAAAGUGAAAUGUGCCUCUUUCACUGCAAUGGGUGAGAAAAAUGGUGCCAUAUCCGUGAAUUCAAGUCCUUUCGCUGCACAUUUUCAGUGCCCAACUCAUUUGAAGUGGCAUUCUUGUGAGAAUAUUCAUUGAAAAGUUACCAAACUCUUAGAAGUUUAGAGUCAAAGCCAAGUAGUUUUACACACUGUUAGAGUGACAGAAGAUCUGCCAUCUCGAUUCUUGUAUUUAUUUUUUAUGCUAAACUGAGGACUGUUGAUCUUCUGUCGCAUUUUAAAAGUGUGUGAAGUCGUUCAGCUUACGAGUAUACUUCAUUUAAGACACUAUCUGAAUGAUCAAACCAUUCAGUUUAAGUUGUCCUUGAUGAGAAAAUGAUUUCUCUUUCAUUUUUAAGUAUGUGAAGUCUGUCCAAAAUUAGUGGAAAGACACCUUAAUUUAAUUUACCAAAGCCUGAGGGCUGUACAGGAAUUUUCAUUAAUUGCUUUAUAACUCUGCUGAAUUUAGUUAGAAUAUUGAAAUAUUCUGCUCAUUUUUCUACUUAGGCUCGUCUUUUUAGAUUUCCUUGGUUGAGUGAGAACCAACAACAUUCUUUUCAAAAUCCAAUUUUGAUGUUUCUGCAAUGAAAGCAAUGUUUUAAUUUUUUUUUACUGACAUAAAUUUUCAAGACCAAGAUCCCCUACAGUCCACUGGUGUCAAACUUCUUACAGAAUGAGCUGUUAGAUUUAAGGAGAAGUGACCAUUAAUCAUGAUGAAAACUUGUUGUUUUCAGGCAGAAAAUCUGUUUGGGGUAAAAAAUAUUUAUUCUUGAUUUUGAUGGUUUUAUGCUUUUCAAAUGCUCAUAAACAUAGGAUAUAAAUGAAUAACAUUUCAUGCAUCUGAAGCAAAUCGUUUUUUAUAUGGAUCUUUGGUACUAAAAGUGAAGAAUUUUUUUUCAAUUUCAAGUUUUUAAUUUUGAAGUAAGGUGCUUUGUGUAAUCAUUAAUAGUGAACUUAAUUUUGUAGCUCUGAAAUGCCUUCAUCUUCAAAUAUUAGAGUGCUUAUCAUGAAAAUCUUGUGAAUAAAUUCUUAAUGUCUUGAUCAGUCAAAUGAUGGCAGAUUUUGUUUUUUCAUUUAAAUUGAAUUCCUGAAUAAUAUUUAUUGAAUGAUGAGUUGGGUCAUGAUCAAAUCCACUGAUGAUGGGCCAACUUUUCAAAGACAGUAUUCCAGGUAGGGGUGUUCUGCCGGUUUCCGGUAAGCUAUUGGAACAGUUUCAUUAAGAUAUAUGAUAACAAAAAGACCCUCACAGAUGGCAAGUAGAAUGUUCAGAGCUGAAGAAAAUGUAUUUGUCAGUUUAAUAGGCCAAGCAACCCAUUGAACUGAUACUUAUAAGGCAACAAUGCUUUGACUUGGCAAUUCGUUCAGCACAAUCAUUAUUACUCAGCAAUAAAGUGUCUUGUAGUGAACCAAAAUUUCAAAACGAGCAGUACUGAUAGCUUAUUGACAAGGAUUGAUUAGAACGCCCUUAGUUGAAGACAGUAUUUCAUAGACAUUAGCACAAGAACAUUUUCGCCAAGAGAAAGUUUCUGCCACUUUCAGUUUAAAUGAAAUUCUCAAUGCCUCCUCUUUCAAAUUACUCUUUGAGUCACUAGGGCUGCUUCUCUGCUCAACUCUUUGAUGUGAAAAAGGACACUGUAUAACCAGGCUAACUUCUGGAGUGAAACAGGAAAACGGCCAUUUUGAUCAAUGCAUUCUCUUUUAAGUAGAAUGUGGACUAACCUAUUGGUUUAAUAGAAGUCAGAUAAUACAUUUGUAAAUUACAUGUUUAAUAGAGAUGGCUUAGUAUAUGAACUACUUAUUGCCCCUCCCCUCCCCCCCCCCCCAAAAAAAAGUCUUGCCUGCAAAGGAAUCUAUUGCAGAUUGGCUUAUUUUGCAGCAGUGUGUCCUCAUUGACUGAUUUAGUGGCUAUGCCAUUCUUGUGAUAUUCAAAAUAUCGACAGUUCAAAACUAAAACCAUAGAACAAACUCUGUGCCUCAUGAUCACGAAAUAACUCACUUGUACUUGAGACUUGAUAAAUUUAGAUUUCAAUUUUUAGACACGUUUUACCACAACAGAACAAGUCAGAGACAAGGUUGUGUUCAUUUACGAUGGAAACCUUUGAACAGCAAUAUAAAACUAUGCACAGCUAUUAUAUCAGUCUAAAAUAGAACAGCGGCACAAUUAACAGGAAUGUGUUGGAGAGGAAUGACAUACACCAUAAUGAGAACAAUUCAAUUGAUUUCUUUAGAUUUCUUUCAUAAAAAAGAAUACACUGUAAUUUUAUCUAGUAAAUACAAUAUUUAUACAAUACUAAGCAAAAGUAUUCAUCGAUAGACUUAGGAGUAAGAAUAAUCAUAAGAAAAAUAAUCACAAAAAUGCUUUUUUCUCUUAAAUCUUUAAAACGUAAAAAUAUUUGAUAUUCUUCAAUUCAAGGUUGUCCUUAAACUCAUUCUCUUGCUUAAGCACAAAUAAAGAAAAAAGAAAAAAACAAAUUCUCAACUUUUGACAAAUUGUAGAUGAUAGUAUACUUUGCAGUUAUCAUCUUUCUUCAUUGAACAAAUAUUAACACUGUACAUAUCGCUCUUUGAACCGUAACUCUAUACAAUACAAGUCGGUAAAAGGCUCUUUGGAAAGAUUUGUAUAAUAUUUACAUUAACAAUUAAAAGAGGCUUUCCACAGACGGUAUUGGUUAAAAUUAAGAAAAUAAAAUUUACAAAAGUGAUACAUUGUGUUCAAAGUGUAUCUAUGUCCAAACGUACUUAAUCAAAAAUAUACAGACAUUGCUCAUCUCAGAUAAAUCUUCUCUCUUGAGAGGGCAAUUCAUUUGAUAAAAGUCAAAUAAUAAAGAUUCCAAGUAUUUAUAUAUCUAUAUAUACUUCGAUACAUACAUAUACGAAUGUACAAAUAUAAAAGCGUGAGAUGAGGAAAAUGAUAAUAGAAAAUAAUCAAAUAAAUAAAGAAAAAAAUGAAAGAACAAAACAAGAAAUUACCACAGAAAGCACAUCUCCACAAAGGUUGCAAUAUGUAAAAAUUAAAGAAUUUGUUAAGUGUUCAAAAUAUACAGUACAGAUAUUUUUAAGAAAAGGUGAAAAAUUUUAGUUUCAUGGACUUGUAUUUAACACUACACCCGUAAUAAAAGAAAGAAAAAUUAUGAAAAAC